GCUUUGUGGAGUGUACGGCUUACGGACAGAUACUCCAAUCUCCGCUGUGGACCUUUGCAGCUCCUUCAGGGUUAUCUUUGGUCUUUUUUUUUGCCUCUGAUUUAAUGCCCCCUUUGCCUGGUCUGUGAGUUUUGGUGGGCGGCCCUCUCUUGGCAGGUUUGUUGUGGUGCCAUAUUCUUUCCAUUUUUUAAUAAUGGAAUUAAUGGGGCUCCAUGGGAUGUUCAAAGUUUUUGAUAUUUUUUUAUAACCCAACCCUGAUCUGUACUUCUCCACAACUUUGUCCCUGACCUGUUUGGAGAGCUCCGUGGUGCUGCAGACUCUGGGGCCUUUCAGAACAGGUGUAUAUAUACUUCAAUCAUGUUACACUUAGAUUGCACACAGGUGGACUUUAUUUAACUAAUUAUGUGACUUCUGAAGGUAAUUGGUUGCGCCAGAUCUUAUUUAGGGGCUUUGUGGCAAAGCGGGUGAAUACAUAUGUGUAACAGUAUAACUUUAGACCGUCCCCUCGCCCAUACCCGGGCGCGAAGCAGGAACUCUCUGCACACAUCAACAACAUUCACCCACGAAGCAUCGUUAACCAUCGCUCCAUAAAAGCCACGGCCCUUGCAGAGCAAGGGGAACUACUACUUCAAGGUCUCAGAGCAAGUGACGUCACCGAUUGAAAUGCUAUUUAGUGCGCACCACCGCUAACUAGCUAGCUAUUUCACAUCCGUUACAUGUGCAUGCACCACUUUUCCUGUAGUUCUUUAACAAGUUAUUGUUUUUCACUCCACCAUUUUGGACUAUUUUGUGUAUGUCCAUUACAUGAAAUCCAAAUAUAAUAUAUUUAAUUUACAGGUUGUAAUGCAACAAAAUAGGAAAAAUACCAAGUGGGGUGAAUACUUUUGCAAGGCACUGUAUGAUGCCCAAACCAUGUCAUGUAUAUGGGGUUGACUGAAGGGGUGCUGUGACAGUAUUUUGGUAUUGAUCCUGUAAAUAUAUACUACCUUUUUAUUUUUAUUGGUCAGUCUGAGAUGUGGCUUUUUCUUUGCAACUGCGUAGAAGGC
ensembl:lncRNA